GGGGGCUUAGCUCAGUUGGGAGAGCACCUGCCUUGCAAGCAGGGGGUCGAGAGUUCGAAUCUCUUAGUCUCCA
rnacentral:tRNA from 4 species